rnacentral:rRNA from 1 species
GAUGAACGCUAGCGGCAGGCCUAAUACAUGCAAGUCGAACGGUGUCUUCGGACAUAGUGGCGCACGGGUGCGUAACACGUAAGCAACCUACCUUUCAUUGGGGGAUAGCCUUUCGAAAGGGAGAUUAAUACCGCAUAAGACAGUAACUAUGCAUCUAGUAGCUGUUAAAGAUUUAUCGAUGUAAGCUGGGCAUGCGUCCAAUUAGCUAGUUGGUGAGGUAACGGCUCACCAAGGCAAUGAUUGGUAGGGGAACUGAGAGGUCAAUCCCCCACACUGGCACUGAGAUACGGGCCAGACUCCUACGGGAGGCAGCAGUAGGGAAUAUUGGGCAAUGGACGCAAGUCUGACCCAGCCAUGCCGCGUGCAGGAUGAAGGCGUUAUGCGUUGUAAACUGCUUUUAUACAGGAAGAAACGACUCUUGCGAGAGGCAUUGACGGUACUGUAUGAAUAAGCACCGGCUAACUACGUGCCAGCAGCCGCGGUAACAC